rnacentral:rRNA from 1 species
GAUGAACGCUGGCGGCGUGCCUAAUAUAUGCAAGUCGAGCGAACAGACGAGGAGCUUGCUCCUCUGACGUUAGCGGCGGACGGGUGAGUAACACGUGGAUAACCUACCUAUAAGACUGGGAUAACUUCGGGAAACCGGAGCUAAUACCGGAUAAUAUAUUGAACCGCAUGGUUCAAUAGUGAAAGACGGUUUUGCUGUCACUUAUAGAUGGAUCCGCGCCGCAUUAGCUAGUUGGUAAGGUAACGGCUUACCAAGGCAACGAUGCGUAGCCGACCUGAGAGGGUGAUCGGCCACACUGGAACUGAGACACGGUCCAGACUCCUACGGGAGGCAGCAGUAGGGAAUCUUCCGCAAAGGGCGAAAGCCUGACGGAGCAACGCCGCGUGAGUGAUGAAGGUCUUCGGAUCGUAAAACUCUGUUAUUAGGGAAGAACAAAUGUGUAAGUAACUAUGCACGUCUUGACGGUACCUAAUCAGAAAGCCACGGCUAACUACGUG